rnacentral:ncRNA from 2 species
ACAUCAUCAUGGACUGACGGCAGUGGAAUAACCACAGGGAUCAUGAUUGUAAAUAGCCGACCGUCUAGGCAACUGUC